AUUGAACGCUGGCGGCAGGCUUAACACAUGCAAGUCGAGCGGAGAUGAGGUGCUUGCACCUUAUCUUAGCGGCGGACGGGUGAGUAAUGCUUAGGAAUCUGCCUAUUAGUGGGGGACAACAUUCCGAAAGGAAUGCUAAUACCGCAUACGCCCUACGGGGGAAAGCAGGGGAUCUUCGGACCUUGCUCUAAUAGAUGAGCCUAAGUCGGAUUAGCUAGUUGGUGGGGUAAAGGCCUACCAAGGCGACGAUCUGUAGCGGGUCUGAGAGGAUGAGCGGCCACAGUGGGACUGAGACACGGCCCAGACUCCUACGGGAGGCAGCAGUGGGGAAUAUUGGACAAUGGGCGGAAGCCUGAUCCAGCCAUGCCGCGUGUGUGAAGAAGGCCUUUUGGUUGUAAAGCACUUUAAGCGAGGAGGAGGCUACCUGGAUUAAUACUCUAGGAUAGUGGACGUUACUCGCAGAAUAAGCACCGGCUAACUCUGUGCCAGCAGCCGCGGUAAAAC
rnacentral:rRNA from 1 species